UGGACAAAUCGACACUACAUCUGGCGUCCGAAGUGGAUCCGAUGACCAGGAAACUACAAUCUUUAUUUGACGAUUGGUUCCAUUGAGAAGGGAGCGGGGAUACUUAUGUGGGUAGUGCUGGUCCCGGCCAAGUGUCCCAUCCUAGGAUUUCCUGGAUUGCCAGCUUAAAACCAAAUUCCACCCAAAAAUAUGCUAUAAAAGCUUGAGAAACUUACUAAAUGCCAUGUAAGGAACUGAAACAGAUUGCGAUUUAUAGAUCUGAAAUGCAUACCUUACACAAGACGUCUUUCUGGUGUGGAAACGUGUGAAAUACGGCCAAGAAAACCGUGCAUCUUUUUUUCCCACCAUGAAGUCUAAGUUCUUCAAAAAAUAUACAUAGCAGACCUCAUGAUCACAUACGCUGUAAUGGAAGACUUUUGUGAAAUUUGUUCGUUUUGGCUGUACAUGGACUUGCAUUGAAGCAAAAUAAAAUCAUAUAUCCAUCGGUUCAGCAACCGAUAUUAGAGAUAUUAAUCGUU